UACGGAGGGUGCAAGCGUUAAUCGGAAUUACUGGGCGUAAAGCGCACGUAGGUGGUUUGUUAAGCUAACUGUGAAAUCCCCGGGCUCAACCUGGGCACUGCAGUUAGAACUGGCAAGCUAGAGUAGGGUAGAGGGGUGUGGAAUUCCAGGUGUAGCGGUGAAAUGCGUAGAUAUCUGGAGGAACAUCAGUGGCGAAGGCGACACCCUGGACUCAUACUGACACUGAGGUGCGAAAGCGUGGGGAGCAAACAGG
rnacentral:rRNA from 1 species